rnacentral:ncRNA from 1 species
UUCCGACAAAGGUAACCCGUGGGUAACCACGGUUCACAAAGCUUAUGGGUCCGUCAUUGGCGGAUAGCCGAGUUGCCGAA